rnacentral:rRNA from 1 species
UACGGAGGAUCCAAGCGUUAUCCGGAAUCAUUGAGUUUAAAGGGUCCGUAGGCGGUUUUGUAAGUCAGUGGUGAAAGCCCAUCGCUCAACGGUGGAACGGCCAUUGAUACUGCAAGACUUGAAUUAUUAGGAAGUAACUAGAAUAUGUAGUGUAGCGGUGAAAUGCUUAGAGAUUACAUGGAAUACCAAUUGCGAAGGCAGGUUACUACUAAUGGAUUGACGCUGAUGGACGAAAGCGUGGGGAGCGAACAGG